rnacentral:rRNA from 1 species
ACGAACGCUGGCGGCGUGCUUAACACAUGCAAGUCGAACGGAAAGGCCCUGCUUUUGUGGGGUGCUCGAGUGGCGAACGGGUGAGUAACACGUGAGUAACCUGCCCUUGACUUUGGGAUAACUUCAGGAAACUGGGGCUAAUACCGGAUAGGAGCUCCUGCUGCAUGGGGGGGGUUGGAAAGUUUCGGCGGUUGGGGAUGGACUUGCGGCUUAUCAGCUUGUUGGUGGGGUAGUGGCUUACCAAGGCUUUGACGGGUAGCCGGCCUGAGAGGGUGACCGGCGACAUUGGGACUGAGAUACGGCCCAGACUCCUACGGGAGGCAGCAGUGGGGAAUAUUGCACAAUGGGCGGAAGCCUGAUGCAGCAACGCCGCGUGCGGGAUGACGGCCUUCGGGUUGUAAACCGCUUUCGCCUGUGACGAAGCGUGAGUGACGGUAAUGGGUAAAGAAGCACCGGCUAACUACGUG